GACGAACGCUGGCGGCGUGCUUAACACAUGCAAGUCGAACGGUGAAGCGCCUUCCUUUUUGGUGGGUGUGGAUGAGUGGCGAACGGGUGAGUAACACGUGAGUAACCUGCCCCCUUCUUCUGGAUAACCGCAUGAAAGUGUGGCUAAUACGGGAUAUUCUGGGUCUGUCGCAUGAUGGGUCUGGGAAAGAUAUUGUUUCGGUGGGGGAUGGGCUCGCGGCCUAUCAGCUUGUUGGUGGGGUGAUGGCCUACCAAGGCGGUGACGGGUAGCCGGCCUGAGAGGGUGGACGGGCACACUGGGACUGAGACACGGGCCAGACUCCUAAGGGAGGCAGCAGUGGGGAAUAGUGAACAAUGGGCGCAAGCCUGAUGCAGCGACGCCGCGUGAGGGAUGGAGGCCUUCGGGUUGUGAACCUCUUUCGCCAGUGAAGCAGGCCUGCCUCGUUUGUGGGUGGGUUGACGGUAGCUGGAGAAGAAGCGCCGGCUAACUACGUG
rnacentral:rRNA from 1 species